ACCCCAGGCCCUGGUACACAGCAGAGAUGGGUUUCACCAUGGUGAUCAGUCUGGUCUCGAACUCCUGACCUCAAGUGAUCCACCCACGUUGGCCUCCCAAAGUGCUGGGAUUACAGGCCUCCAGGCGGGCACGCAUCUUUGUUGUGUUCUCUGCUGACUAUAUCCUCAGCACCUAGAACUGUGUCUGUCACCUAAUAGAUGCUCACAAGAAUGGGUUGUGUCAGGAGAAGCAAAUCCCAAAUGAGAUAAACCUGCCAGUAAUUUCAGCAAAUGAAACGUGGAACACGUCAAGGCCAGAGGAUGGAAAAGGCUCCAGUUUUGAUAAAAGGAGGCCUGCUUGGCUUGGAAUCCUCUCUCCUGCUGGUUGGGAGAUGCAAAGAUGUUUCCAGAGAGGGGCUGAUGAAUUGAGGGGAAAGAAAUGAGCCCAGUAUGAGUCCCCUUUCAGGGCUGAGCGGGUAUAAAACCAAACAACUUGGAACCGCUCCAAGAGAGGGGAUUAAAGCAACAUGUUAUUC
rnacentral:lncRNA from 1 species